rnacentral:rRNA from 1 species
UACGUAGGGUGCGAGCGUUAAUCGGAAUUACUGGGCGUAAAGCGUGCGCUGGCGGUGAUGUAAGACAGAUGUGAAAUCCCCGGGCUCAACCUGGGAACUGCAUUUGUGACUGCAUCGCUGGAGUGCGGCAGAGGGGGAUGGAAUUCCGCGUGUAGCAGUGAAAUGCGUAGAUAUGCGGAGGAACACCGAUGGCGAAGGCAAUCCCCUGGGCCUGCACUGACGCUCAUGCACGAAAGCGUGGGGAGCAAACGGG